GAUGAACGCUGGCGGCGUGCCUAAUACAUGCAAGUCGAGCGAAGCGGGGACGGGUGAGUAACACGUGGAUAACAUCCUAUAAGACGGGGAUAAAUUCGGGAAACCGGAGCUAAACCGGUUACUUAUAGAUGGAACCGCGAGUCAUUAGCUAGUUGGUAAGGUAACGGCUUACCAAGGCAACGAUGCAUAGCUGACCUGAGAGGGUGAUCGGCCACACUGGAACUGAGACACGGUCCAGACUCCUACGGGAGGCAGCAGUAGGGAAUCUUCCGCAAUGGGCGCAAGCCUGACGGAGCCACGCCGCGGGUGUGAUGAAGGUCUUCGGAUCGUAAAACUCUGUUAUUAGGGAAGCGGUACCUAAUCAGAAAGCCACGGCUAACUACGUGCCAGCAGCCGCGGUAAUUC
rnacentral:rRNA from 1 species